CCCCUGAUUGUUUUUGACAAACACCCUGAGAACAGACUGUUCACACAGAACAGGUUCUGAGAGAUCAAAUAGAGAUAAACCCUGAGAACCGAGCUUUUCCAGGAGCAGCCAGACAGGUCAAAGAGUCUUAGUUCUCUGGGGAAGGAGCUUUUGGAGCAGCUCCAAACUUGCUCUGCGCCCUCCAGUAGCUGCUAAACUGCCUGUUCUCACAGUUGCCAUGGUUACAAGAUUAUUAGUUUUCAUGGCUACUGUAGGGCUGGGGAGAAGGAAAUGGGGCAAGUUAAAAUGUCACAGAGCUCCCUGUUCUCUGCAUGAUGCAGCUGUUUUUCAGAUGACCCUUGGAUUGUUACAAAGCUUUGGUUAAUUUCCAGAAUUCUGAAAAAGUUUAUUUUUGACGACUUUUGUCAGUGUUCUUAACUGCUUUUAUAGGAGUGGAUUUUUAAAGGCGCUUACUCUCAUUUCUGAUGUGUUUCCAUUCUGUAUGUUUAAUCUGACUUUCUGCCUUGUUGAUUUUUAAGAGUUUUCUAUGUACCUUUUUGAUAGAUUCUGUAUGUAUGUCUUUAGAAAAAUAUGUGCUUUGUGACGUUCUUCUCCUAGGUUGUAACCCACCGUCUCACUCCAGGGAUCUAAUCUUGUUCUUCAGUGCUCAGGUGAAUGUUGUGUCACGUGAGGAAGAAACACAGCUUCACCCGCCAGGAUCUGUGUGUAGGCUAAGCAGAGAGAGUCGGAAGGUGGGAAUUCGUAGUCAUUUUGUGCUACGCGGUAUCACUAAGACUUCAUAUCAUGUGGUUUUUAUUCAUAUUACUGAAGGAAUAGGUGGAGACUUCAUCCAUAAACCUACCACUGACUGCUCUGUGAUCCUUUUACUGUCUGAAAAUGUCAUCAGCCCCAGCAGCGAGAAGAUACAACCAUGGAAGGAGAUCGCUUGCCUUGUGCAAUUUUCAAGCUGCAGCACACCAAGCUAUGCACAAACGGCAACAGUGUCCUCAAACGCUCCAGGACAAACUCACCCUCCCAGAUAUGCAAGACCUACCUCCUUACAGUCCUAG
rnacentral:lncRNA from 1 species